GUAAGUGUAGUUAAAAUAUAAUAUCAUGUUUUCAUCAUGAAGUUCUGUGGCGCUUAUU
rnacentral:tRNA from 1 species